CUAGAAUCUGGAAUAAUCCUUAUGCUGGACAGAUUCGUCUACAAGGAGGUGCUUAUUCAAGUUAUGGUAGACUGGAAGUAUAUUGUAAUGGACAGUGGGGUACAGUGUGUGAGGAUAGUUUUGGCAUUACUGAUGCUAGAGUUGUCUGUCGUCAGUUAGGAUACAGUAACUAUGUUACUGCAACCAGAUUGCCUGGAACUGUUUCUCAACCUAUUUGGCUUGACAAGGUCAUAAGUGUACCAGUUCAUCCAAUUGUCUUGCUUAUUGUGAAUCUUGUCCAGCUACACAAUAUCAUAACUGUGUACACAAUGAAGAUGUGACCUUGGGAUGUGAAUUUAAUUCUAAUUUUACUACAUCCUCCAAUACCUUGAGCACCUGUCGAUAUGCUGACUCUACAUCAAGUGGUACCAGUGAUGCAGUGAUUGGAAUUAUAUUUGGGAUUAUAAUAUUCAUGGGUAUAUGUUGCUGCUGUUUCAGUAUUUGUAUUUGCAUUGGUUGCAGCCAGAAAAGAAGAGAAUAUGUAUUCACAUACUUUAUACCAGUGAAAAGUGAUACACGAAAACAAGGACUAAUUAUAUUUUAAUUAUUAAUUGCUUAGCAUUGGUUAGUAAACAGAUUAUUUUUGUUAUAGCUGGACCAGUUAGAUCUAGUGUUAGUGAGUGAAUUUGAUUAGAUAUGUUGAUUUUAUUAGUUAAUUGUGUUAUUAGUUUGUGAGAAACAGAAAACUUAAUUGAUUGUUAUUAGAUACUCUUGAUGUUA